rnacentral:SRP_RNA from 1 species
GGUCAGGAAGCAAGCAGCCCUAAAGAAUA